UUUUACAGUUGUUAACUGUAUAUUUCCAUGUCAACUGUAAUUAAUUUACAAGAAGCAGGUGUUAUCACUGUAGCUCCUGCUUUUUACACUACUUUACUGUAGUGUGGCAUUAUGGGAUUGCGCGCGCAUCGUUCAAAUCUGAAAUCCAGCCGACUGGAGCAGUGCCAGAACGAUUGAAGAUUAGAGGCUUUAUUCAUAAUUCCUGGUGCAAAGAAUAGCAGCUGAUGUGGAGAAAUGUUUGAUGCUUCAAGACUCUCUGAAGCUGAUUAUAUUAGGUGCACCCAGUGGCUUUUGACUAGGCCUAUUCGAGGGUCACAUGGUUGUGAAUUCAUACCUCAACUUUGUGGCUGGAUUUUCAGUCUUAUUACAACUUCAGCCUGGCGUCCCGGGAGCAGGCGUCUUUUGCACACUUGAGUUAAUUUCAAAGGUAACAUGUUUUACUCGAGUAAUUUCAUUUGUGAAAAAGGUUACUUAUUUAGUUUAAGUACUGGUAAAUGCUGAUUGUAUUGUAUAAUUUUUAUGAUUUUUAUAUAUAUCAAAUUUUUCCAUUUAUUUCAUUGAGCUAGUGUUACGUUCCACGUGUAUUUGUGUAUAUUGUUUUGUUUUUCUCGCUCUCCUGUCUUUUUGUACUUUGAUUUGCUCCGCUUCUAGGUCGAUGUUUAUUGGUGGACUCGACUGUCAAUCAUCAUUCUGACGUCACGAUGUUCUGCCCAUCCCAAGUGCCAGCUGUAUUUGAGGACGCGGGUUGAUUGUGUGUGCGUGCGCCACGCCAGCGUACCUUGUGCUUCCAACGCGGUCAGCAGUCUUGUGUCGACACCAAUUGUCUCCCGAGGCUUAAUGUAUUUUGCCUUAAGGAGUUAUGCUUUGCUUUAUUUGUAGAUUUGUUUAUUGGCUAUUGACUUGUAUCGAAUCCUUUGGAAAAGAUCACGCCGAUGUGGGUGUUGGAGUUUCAGUCCUAUCAUGGGUUAAGUUCAAAGUAAAGGAUGCAUUUUAGCGCCUCGAAUCUGCUUAAUCAAAUGUGUCUAUCAGUGAUGAUUUGAAUACUUAGUCAACUGUUGUGAUACUGUUUUCUUGUCUUUGAUUAGGUUAGUUUGUACUUUGUUAGAUUAGAUUUCUGAGUGUUACGCCACCCCUGUAAUUUAUUUCCCUUUUGUACAUAUUAUUUGUAUUUGUCUACAAGGCGCCCAGUAAAGAUCUUUUUCUUUGGCAAUACUUGUUCUCAGGACCAUCUUUGAUCCGCACCACAUCCCGUAACAAUUGUCUCAUAUAAAUGUUAUGGUAUCAUCCCGUUUUAACAUCAAACACGUAACAGCUAGUUUCAUUCAAUACUGAACUUUAUUC